GUAGAUUAGUUUGAUCCUGGCUCAGAACGAACGCUGGCGGCAGGCCUAACACAUGCAAGUCGAACGCCCCGCAAGGGGAGUGGCAGACGGGUGAGUAACGCGUGGGAACCUACCUAUUGGUGCGGAAUAACUCGGGGAAACCCGUGCUAAUACCGCAUAAGCCCGAGAGGGGAAAGAUUUAUCGCCGAUAGAUGGGCCCGCGUCGGAUUAGCUUGUUGGUGAGGUAAUGGCUCACCAAGGCGACGAUCCGUAGCUGGUCUGAGAGGAUGAUCAGCCACACUGGGACUGAGACACGGCCCAGACUCCUACGGGAGGCAGCAGUGGGGAAUAUUGGACAAUGGGGGAAACCCUGAUCCAGCCAUGCCGCGUGAGUGACGAAGGCCUUAGGGUUGUAAAGCUCUUUUGGCGGGGACGAUAAUGACGGUACCCGCAGAAUAAGCCCCGGCUAACUUCGUGCCAGCAGCCGCGGUAAUACGAAGGGGGCUAGCGUUGUUCGGAAUCACUGGGCGUAAAGCGCACGUAGGCGGACUUGUUAGUCAGGGGUGAAAUCCCGGGGCUCAACCCCGGAACUGCCUCUGAAACUGCAAGUCUUGAGUCCGAGAGAGGUGAGUGGAAUUCCUAGUGUAGAGGUGAAAUUCGUAGAUAUUAGGAAGAACACCAGUGGCGAAGCGGCUCACUGGCUCGGUACUGACGCUGAGUGCGAAAGCGUGGGGAGCAAACAGGAUUAGAUACCCUGUAGUCCACGCCGUAAACGAUGGAUGCUAGCCGUCGGCAAGCUUGCUUGUCGGUGGCGCAGCUAC
rnacentral:rRNA from 1 species